rnacentral:rRNA from 1 species
CAGAGGGUGCAAGCGUUGUUCGGAAUCACUGGGCGUAAAGCGCGCGCAGGCGGAUGGUUGCGUCCGGAGUGAAAUUUCGCCGCUCAACGGCGAAGCUGCUUUGGAUACGGACCGUCUAGGGACCGGUAGAGGCUGGUAGAAUUGCAGGUGUAGCGGUGGAAUGCGUAGAGAUCUGCAAGAAUACCCGUGGCGAAGGCGGCCAGCUGGGCCGGAUCCGACGCUGAGGCGCGAAAGCGUGGGGAGCAAACAGGAUUAGAUACCCUGGUAGUCCACGCCGUAAACGAUGGGCACUAGGUGCCGGGGGGAGCGACCCCCUCGGUGCCGCAGCUAACGCGAUAAGUGCCCCGCCUGGGGAGUACGGCCGCAAGGCUG